rnacentral:tRNA from 1 species
GCGAGAGUGGCGGAAUUGGCAGACGCACCGGCCUUAGGAGCCGGCGGCUUUACGGCUGUGGGGGUUCAAAUCCCCCCUCUCGCACCA